rnacentral:misc_RNA from 1 species
GAAGACCCUGUUGAGCUUGACUCUGGUU